UACGUAGGGGGCAAGCGUUGUCCGGAUUUAUUGGGCGUAAAGAGCGUGUAGGCGGUCUGGUAGGUCCGUUGUGAAAACUCGAGGCUCAACCUCGAGACGCCGAUGGAAACCCUCAGACUAGAGUCCGGAAGAGGAGAGUGGGAUUCCUGGUGUAGCGGUGAAAUGCGCAGAUAUCAGGAAGAACACCCGUGGCUAAGGCGGCUCUCUAGUACGUGACUGACGCUGAGACGCGAAAGCGUGGGGAGCGAACAGG
rnacentral:rRNA from 1 species